rnacentral:misc_RNA from 1 species
CGGCCUUAUCUCUUUCUACGUCUGUCAACACGAUUUCGAUUCCAUGUUUCGUCCAAUACUAUAUGUAGAUGAUCGCAUAUAGUGAUGAUAUCAUACAGUUCCGUUCGUAUUGCGAUCGACGAAGGAAGGAGAAAUAAGUUUGUCGUCACACACAAGUUACGUACGAAACGCGAUUCAAGUCGAGGAGCGUAAAAUAUUUUUUUUUGAAGAGCGCACAUUUAAGAAAAAGUAAGCUUCAGCAUUCAUUAUGGAAGCACACGCACGUGCCCCAGAUCCUUUAGUAAAAACUAACGACAUGGCCAGUAAUUGGCACAGUUGGAGAGAAGAUUUUAUCGUAUUUAUGAAAAUAACUGGAUAUAUCAAUAAACCAAACGAAAUUCGUGCAAACCUCUUGAAAAAUCGGAUUGGAAAAAUUGGUAUUGAUGCAAUACAAACUAUGACUUUUGACAAACCAGAGGAUAAAGAUGACAUGGAUAUAUUGAUUGAGAAAUUAGAAGAAUUCUUUAAUCCACCAAAAAAUGAGGUGGUUGAGCGAUUUCAAUUCUUUACAAGAGACAAAAAACAAAAUGAAACCAUUGAGCAAUAUAUAAGCAUCUUGAAAGAAAAAGCCAAAACUUGUAAUUUUAAUGAACUGACGGAUAGUAUUAUACGAGAUAAAAUUAUUCUUAUUACUCAAGAUAAAAUACUUCGUAAACAAUUUUUUGAAACAAAAAAUUUAGAUUUGCAGAAACUGAUAGCGAUUUAUAAUGACUAUAAUAUCAAUAUAGAGAAAAUGAAACAAUUCACUAAAGAAAAUAUCAAUACGGAGAAAAUAAAACAACCCACUAAAGAAAAUAUCAAUAUGGAGAAAAUAAAACAACCCACUAAAGAAAAUAUCAAUAUGGAGAAGAUAAAACAAGUUACUAAAGAAAGUACAGAAUUUACAAGCUUCACACCGAAAUCGCCGAAUAAUGAUACAAAGAAAAAAUGUUGGAAAUGUAAUUGUGAACAUCCACAAGAAAAGUGUCCCGCUUUAGGAUCAAAGUGUACAAAAUGUGGUGAUAUGAACCAUUUUACUCAAUGUUGCAAACGUCCCAAACCUGAUCCUAAGCUAAAUGAGAAUAAGAUAAAUAAUUUAUUAAAUCCAACGGAUCAAGCAAAUGUGAAUCCAGCACAAGCUAAUGUUUCAAAGAAGAAAAAAAACAGGAAGACGAAGAACAAUCUGGCAAAUUCUGAUACUCAAAAUAUGGAUCUCAUGAAUAACAUGACUAGUUUUCCGGAUAUUCCAACAGUACCUCGUGAUGCUGCAAAUUCAACUUUUAACAAUGAUAAAUUUGAUUUCGUAAUGCUAGAUGAAUGUAAACCGGGUCCAAGUUUACCUUCUAAUAAUAUCACAAAUCGACCAGCAUAUCUUAAUCAUACACAAUAUAAUAAUGCAUAUGUGAGAAGAGCCAAACCAACGGGAACAGCACAUCUAUUUGAUAUUAUUCCAACAACAGAUGUUGUACAAAGAGAAUUAACUAAAAUAAAGGAAGGGAUGAAAUCGGAAUAUAAACAAUUGGAUCAAAAGAAAAUAGAUGUAGUAGUAAAAGAAAUCGAAUCGGAUUUUACAAGGGAUUUACAGGGAUUUACAGGAAAUCGAAAGAAAUUAGAUAAAGAUCCUUGUAGUAACAACAAAAAGAACUAUAAGGCAAAUUCUGCGACUAAAGACAUGAAUCCAAUGAACGAAACGUUUUCCAGAUAUUCCGACAGUAUCUUGUGAUACUACAAAUUCAACUUUCAGCAAUAAUAGAAAAUUUAAUUUUUUCCGAAUAAUAAAAGAACGUAAACCAGAUUUAUAUUUCGAUGAAGUCGUAAUUCAAUCGACAUAUUUUGGUAACAAUACACAACGUAAUAAUGCAUAUGUGAGAAGAGGCCCGAGAGAGAACCAGAGAAAGAAACCAAUA